UUUCGGAGUUCCGCAGACUUCUAAGAACUGCAAGCAUGGGAUCAAGAACUUUGCCAAGUCCAUCCGGCCACCGCAAUUCUCGGAGACUCUAAGAACCUAUUCGAGCUUUGGAGGAAGAACGGUAUUGAUUCCUUUUCUGUCAUUUUUUCUGAUCUGGAAGUUGAUAGUGAGGGAAGCUCAAGAACCCAAAGAGGGUAUCUUUUAUACUUCAAAGCACACUUCCAGUUUGAGAGCACAAUCUUUUUUGAGGGAGAGGACCACAGGAUGUAAAAUGUGUAAAAGGUGGCGAGUUGGAAAUAAUGUAAAGUCGUUUGCUUUUCGGAAAAAAAUGGGUUGGGUAGCUAGUGGGUGAUGAUGGACCGUAAUGUUCUGGCAGGAUGUACAUUCUUCUUGAGUGUUUGAAAUCUAUAGUGAGAAAAAUAUUACUUAUUAUGAUGUCAAUGGAAGAUUUUAGGGGUUUAGAGUUGAGAUGAAUCUGUUUCAUGGCCUUUUUCUUUGUUUUUUCAUUUCACAUUUCAAUGGCGACAGAUUGCAGCAGAAAUUUAC
rnacentral:lncRNA from 1 species